rnacentral:lncRNA from 1 species
CAGGGUCUCCCGGGUGAGAGAGGGCUGGCUGGCCCCGAGGGGAAGCCGGGCCUGCCAGGCUUCCCCGGCGUGCUGGGACGCCCGGGCAACCAGGGAGACCCGGGACCCCCAGGACCUCCGGGCAGCACUGGCCCACCAGGGACCCAGGGCCCAGCUGGGACCAAGGUACAGUAUCAGCAUCAGCAUUGCCAUGUCCAACCUGGCAGGGGAAGGCAGUGCCUUGCCAGGUUUGGGGGACCUGGAGGGAGGGCCACA